rnacentral:lncRNA from 1 species
AUGGCAACGGCUGCUUCAACAUUUGAACCUAUACAGAUAUUGCUGGGUACAGCCCUCCCUGAUCUCGCUGCCGACGCGCGAAGCCGUUACCCCUCACGAGAAAAUUGCCGUGGGUGGGAACUGCGGGAUCCGACGACGUUCGCAGCGCUCGCUACGAGGCGGGAGCGGCUCUGCGGGGCGAGGCUGACACCUGGCGGCCGCGUCUGCGCCGUUCGGGGCACGUCCGGCCUUGUUCGGUUCACCCAUCAGAGUACCUCGGGAGUGAGAAGUGCAGGAAGACUAGGGGAGGCAGAAAAUGACAUUUUGACUAUGGUGCCUUCUGGUUAUGAGGACAUCAUUCACAAACAUCACCACAAUGCAGUGAUGAAAUCAAGUGACCUUCUUUCACUUCAGCUUGGUCCUCAUCUCCAGUGGGCAGCGUCUAGACUGAAUUUAGUGACUACAUUGAUUAUUUUAUCAAAGGUAGUGGAGUGCACCAGAGGACUGCUUAGUCUACAGCAACAGCAUGCAACGCUGAGCAAAUGA